rnacentral:sRNA from 1 species
UUGGACCAUCACUUUU